rnacentral:rRNA from 1 species
UACGUAGGGUGCAAGCGUUAAUCGGAAUUACUGGGCGUAAAGCGUGCGCAGGCGGUUUUGUAAGUCUGUCGUGAAAGCCCCGGGCUUAACCUGGGAAUUGCGAUGGAGACUGCAAGGCUUGAAUCUGGCAGAGGGGGGGUAGAAAUUCCACGUGUAGCAGUGAAAUGCGUAGAGAUGUGGAGGAACACCGAUGGCGAAGGCAGCCCCCCUGGGUCAAGAUUGACGCUCAUGCACGAAAGCGUGGGGAGCAAACAGG